GACGAACGCUGGCGGCGUGCUUAACACAUGCAAGUCGAACGGUGAAAGCGGAGCUUGCUCCGCUGGAUCAGUGGCGAACGGGUGAGUAACACGUGGGCAACCUGCCCCUCACUUCGGGAUAACUCCGGGAAACCGGGGCUAAUACCGGAUAUGACCUCCUUGGGCAUCCUUGGAGGUGGAAAGUUUUUCGGUGAGGGAUGGGCCCGCGGCCUAUCAGCUUGUUGGUGAGGUAGUGGCAAACCAAGGCGACGACGGGUAGGCGGCCGGAGAGGGCGGCCGGCCACACUGGGACUGAGACACGGCCCAGACUCGUACGGUAGGCAGCAGUGGGGAAUAUUGCGCAAUGGGCGAAAGCCUGACGCAGCAACGCCGCGUGCGGGAUGACGGCCUUCGGGUUGUAAACCGCUUUCAGCAGGGAAGAAGCCGCAAGGUGACGGUACCUGCAGAAGAAGCACCGGCUAACUACGUGCCAGCAGCCGCGGUAA
rnacentral:rRNA from 1 species